rnacentral:rRNA from 1 species
UACGUAGGGGGCAAGCGUUGUCCGGAAUUAUUGGGCGUAAAGCGCGCGCAGGCGGUCAUUUAAGUCUGGUGUUUAAUCCUGGGGCUCAACCCCAGUUCGCAUCGGAAACUGGAUGACUUGAGUGUAGGAGAGGAAAGUGGAAUUCCACGUGUAGCGGUGAAAUGCGUAGAGAUGUGGAGGAACACCAGUGGCGAAGGCGACUUUCUGGGCCUAUAACUGACGC